GGGGAAUAUUGCACAAUGGGCGCAAGCCUGAUGCAGCGACGCCGCGUGAGGGAUGAAGGCCUUCGGGUUGUAAACCUCUUUCGUCAGGGAACAAGGCACUGCUUUUGGUGGUGUUGAGGGUACCUGGAUAAGAAGCGCCGGCUAACUACGUGCCAGCAGCCGCGGUAAUACGUAGGGCGCAAGCGUUGUCCGGAAUUAUUGGGCGUAAAGAGCUCGUAGGCGGCUGGUCGCGUCUGUCGUGAAAACUUCCGGCUCAACCGGGGGCUUGCGGUGGGUACGGGCCGGCUAGAGUGCGGUAGGGGUAACUGGAGCUCCUGGUGUAGCGGUGGAAUGCGCAGAUAUCAGGAAGAACACCGAUGGCGAAGGCAGGUUACUGGGCCGUUACUGACGCUGAGGAGCGAAAGCGUGGGGAGCGAACAGGAUUAGAUGCCCUGGUAGUCCACGCUGUAAACGUUGGGCACUAGGUGUGAGGCUCCUUUCCGGGGGUUUUGCGCCGUAGCUAACGCAUUAAGUGCCCCGCCUGGGGAGUACGGCCGCAAGGCUA
rnacentral:rRNA from 1 species